GCAGCCUGCUCUCCCGGUCACCGCCGUCGCCGUGACCUGUGGCCUCCAGGAAACGAGAGGGACCGGGGCGCCCCACCCGCGAGACGGACCCGCAGUCUCCCGGCGGGCCCGCGGGCGGCGAGACGCGGCGUUCCUGGUUUUCACCUUCGCUGUCUAGUGCUGCAGUCUCUCACUCUCUGUAAAUUUCAUCUGUUGAGUGUAUUUAACUAAAAAGGGUAAUUACUUUAGAUAAAAAUCCUUUCCUGCCUAGUGGGAACCUUGGCGGAGAUGAUGCCUAAUGAGAUAUUUUGCUUUUGUCUGUUUAGAGUAAAAUUAGAGAUGUUAACGCUGAUAACGGUUUUCUCAGAUCAUUAAAAUGUAACAUGUAGGAAAGGCACGUCUUGCUGCAAAGGCUCGGGCUGACAUGAAAGAAGCUGAGCGUGAAAGGCUGCCCCUCCUUUGGCGGAGAGGGCUAUUUUGGUAAGGCAGCGGGCGUCUUGCUUAAAAUGUGAGAUCGCCCCACCCUGGUUCUCGGGCACCUCCCGAGUAAACGGCGUUUUUCAUUCUUGCAGGUAAUAAUAAACGUGAGUCAAAAUGACAUCUUGUUAGAAUUAGUCUUUAGUCUGUAAGAGAGAUUGCCAAAUUACAGUGUUGCGUUCAAACUGCUCCACUGAAAGGUCUGUCAGCAUUUCCAUUAUAAAUUCAGUUUUUCUGGAGUUUAUAAUUUCACCACAAAACUUUGAGUGGCUGAAAUGUUUUCCCUUCUAGUAUUCUGGUUUUUGAAAGAAAUUUAUUGAUUGCCCAUUUCCAACGUUUUUUUUACUCUCGAAACCUGAAUAUCAUUGAAAUAGAGCGAAGUCCCAGAAAUGGAACACACAACCAUGGAAUAAAGUAUUUUUGUUAGAACAUAACUUUAUUGGUGCAGAGCCGUAUUUUCGUUUUGCAUUGCAGGAGGCUUCAGGUUUGCCAUUUGGUAAUCAUGAAUGUGUUGAGUAAAUUCUUCUGCUGUCUGUCUAUUCUGCAGGUGGACUGAAAUGUCAGUUGGUAGUGUGUUUGCCAGGAUUACAUGGAGACACACACUUCUCAGUUAAGUGUGUGUCUGAACUCAUAGCUAAAUUGUGAACACUCCUGUUAGUUACUUUUUUGGUUCUUUGUAUGUUGCAUGUCAGGAUCUGCUAUGAAGAAGAAGGGGUGAGGUGAAAGAGAGGGAGGGGAUCAGGAUUCACUUUCUGUAUUACCAGUGCCUGGGAGAAAGCCAUUUAUUAUUUUCCUAUUGAAUUAUGCCCUUUGACUUAGUAUCUUCAGGCAAUUCUUUUCCAGUAGCUCACCUCUGGCUGCUGUGUAAGGGGCUUAAUUAUUUGCAAACUGCCUUGAAAUCCCUGGAUGAAAGGCACUGAAUAAGUGCACAGUAUUGUUAUUCAGAUAUGGAAUUUAAUGAUCCAUUAUAGUUCAUCAGGAAAAUGCACUUUGCAGUGAUGGUAGGAAAUGUUUCCACCUGAUAGAGGGUAAUAAUAACUGCUUAAAAGUAGAUUCAGAUUACAGAUGAGACAAUUAACUCUAGCCAUGUGCUCUUCAAUUUGUUGCAAUUCAUUUUGUGAUCAAAGUGAGUCACAGAGGGCCAGAUGGUCAGGUUCAUGUUCAGAUCUCUCCUAGGCCAGCCCUUCACUUCUGGGCCCACUGUCUGCACAGCCGACAGGACUUAGUUAUUCAUUAGCGCUUGUGAGCUGUUUCUCAGAAUUCCUAAUCGAGGCUCCUGUGAUGCCAACAAAAGGGCUCAAGCCAAUCUGUAUUGUUGAGAGCAGUUUAAUUUUACUUGGAUUAACUUUCAGUGUCUCUGGUGUGGAUCCAGUCUUAACAAAAAGGAAAGAGACCCUAGUGGCUCUCUAUCUCUGCUGUGCCUGGCCCCUCUACUCUAGUUUUUGAACCUCAGAUUUCAGGGGUGUGACAUCUAGCUUAUUGUAAAUGCAGGCUUGAUUGUUAAUGAAUGAGAGAAUACUUAGAUAAAUAAAUAUCUUCCUGUGUGUCCAGGGGGUGAGAGCCAGUACUAGCUUCAUGGGCAUAAGACCUGUGCAGUUACAUAGGCCCCCUUCCUCUUCCCUGCUCAGAAGGACCUCAUAUUUGGUAUAAGGUUCUGCUGUUUUCUUCGGAAAUUCUUAAUAAUUUUUGAACAAAGGGCCCCUCGUUUUCAUUUUUCACUGAGCCCUGCAAAUUAUGUACUUACCUGGUUCUGGUGAGGAGCAGGGCAUAGUGUGGAGUGGCAGGCCGCCCCUACUCAACUCAUUGUAGACUCUUGCUAGGGAACAGUUGGUAGGACUACUGGCUUUGUGUUGCCACAUCAUUUGAUUUUUCCAGGGGAAGCUGAAUAUUGGAUAUUUAUGUGGAAUUUCCUGAUUUUUAAAUAUUGGCUCAAAUCUUUAAAAAAUUUUUGGAUGAAAGCAUAUGUAAGAGCUAGUGUCGGCCUGGGGGCUGCUUGUCUCCCACUACUGAACAGACUGAAACAUCUUUUUUUGUUUAAUAUCUUUGUGUGUCUCUGUUUUCUAAAGGCCUGGCAUAUAGUGGAUGAUUUGUGAGUAUGCACCCAAUGAAUGGUUACAACUACCUGGAAAAUAGAAAGAUGCCAAAAAAACAAAACUUCAAAUCAACAUUGAGUCCCACUCAGGGAUUGAUCAGCUUCCUUUUUAACAGAGAAUUCGACAUGAAAGGCCGAAUAAUUUAAUACCAUGAGUACAGUGUGAUUCCUUGCAGAAGUUUCAGCGACAUAUGACCCUGUCAGAGGUACUCACAGUUCAGAAGUCAAUGCUGGUUGCAAAAAUUGGAAUUUCUUUGGAAAAGAAGACAAGCUUUUGGCAGAGCUGGGGCCACAUAUGGGAACGCAGCACCAAGGCCUUGGGAAUGACGGAAAAUCGCUUCUGUAUUGUUAAUAGCAAUAUAUGACCUCUGCUGUCCUCCUAUCUUUAAAUUUUAUGUAAAUAUUUACAAACUGUUCAUGUCCAAACUGAAACCUGCUAUGAACUAAACAUUUUGUAAACUCAGUAAGAUUGCCCAAAAUACAACUCAACUUUCACCUUUUUUUUUUUGUUUGUGAUGACAUUUAAUUUAAAAAAAAAAGACAGUAGUUGCUUUUUUUUUUCUUUUUUUUUGUCAGUUCAGGGUCUUUUAAUUUUUUCCCUUUACUUUUUUUUUUGUUAAUUUCAAAUGUCAGUCUAUCUAAAACUGAAACUUAAUUUUACUAUCAGCAUGCUACUCAGCUUCCGUAAGGCUGGAAAUGUCCUGCGAAUCUUACCACUAUGUCUUUUCCAAGGGCCAUUUCAUUUCUAAAGAAUGUAUAAAUUGAACCUCAUCCUGCUAGUGACACUACUUCAAAAUUCAGGCAGGAAUUUUGCCAUUUGUUUUUCCUUGAGCUAUUUUUUUUCCAAAAUAAUAAAUCUUCCCAAUCCAAAA